rnacentral:rRNA from 1 species
GCUUGCUGGGAUGAUUAGUGGCGGACGGGUGAGUAACAUUUAGGAAUCUGCCUAGUAGUGGGGGAUAGCUCGGGGAAACUCGAAUUAAUACCGCAUACGACCUACGGGUGAAAGGGGGCGCAAGCUCUUGCUAUUAGAUGAGCCUAAAUCAGAUUAGCUAGUUGGUGGGGUAAAGGCCCACCAAGGCGACGAUCUGUAACUGGUCUGAGAGGAUGAUCAGUCACACCGGAACUGAGACACGGUCCGGACUCCUACGGGAGGCAGCAGUGGGGAAUAUUGGACAAUGGGGGCAACCCUGAUCCAGCCAUGCCGCGUGUGUGAAGAAGGCCUUUUGGUUGUAAAGCACUUUAAGCAGGGAGGAGAGGCUAAUGGUUAAUACCCAUUAGAUUAGACGUUACCUGCAGAAUAAGCACCGGCUAACUCUGUGCCAGCAGCCGCGGUAAUACAGAGGGUGCGAGCGUUAAUCGGAAUUACUGGGCGUAAAGCGAGUGUAGGUGGCUCAUUAAGUCACAUGUGAAAUCCC